rnacentral:rRNA from 1 species
AUGCACAACCUUGAAUCCAUUACGUUCGGCACACAGGGGCGCUUGAGGGAUGCCGUCAUUGACUUUAACUUUAUUGGUACCCUGGGGAACCUCCCUUCGCUUCGCGAGGUUGUCGCACAUAUGGAUUGCGGUGAUGCCCGUGUACCCGAUGUGGAGAAGAUGGAGGCAGCGGUGAGGCAAACAAUUGACACCCAUCCGAACCGUCCCACACUCCGUCUCGAAAGGCGUGGUCAAUAUAUGAUGAUGAAAGAAACAGUGAGCCAAGGAGGUCAACCCGAAUAUGCAGAAAUAGAGGUAAUCGUCGAAGACGAGGACGACGAUGAAGUGACCUCCCGACAGACAGAACCAGAGUUCAACUACGACUUUGACAACCGCGUCGGAGAAGAGCCGGAGAGUCCUGAGCAGAGGAACCAAGAUCAGUGCCAUGACGCCGAAACAUCGGAUUGCAGGAAGGCAGACCAACAGCUCGAUGGCGAACGCAAAAGUAAACGACAUCGAUUUCAGCAGCAGAGAAGUGCUCUGUCCGGCGAUAAUUCUUGUGCCUAG